rnacentral:rRNA from 1 species
AAUGAACGCUGGCGGCAGGCCUAACACAUGCAAGUCGAACGGGUCCUUCGGGACUAGUGGCGGACGGGUGAGUAACGCGUGGGAACGUGCCCCUUGGUACGGAAUAGCCCCGGGAAACUGGGAGUAAUACCGUAUGUGGUCGAGAGACGAAAGAUAUAUCGCCAAGGGAUCGGCCCGCGUUGGAUUAGGUAGUUGGUGGGGUAAUGGCGUACCAAGCCGAUGAUCCAUAGCUGGUUUGAGAGGAUGAUCAGCCACACUGGGACUGAGACACGGCCCAGACUCCUAGGGGAGGCAGCAGUGGGGAAUCUGAGACAAUGGGGGAAACCCUGAUCUAGCCAUGCCGCGUGAUCGAUGAAGGCCUUAGGGUUAUAAAGAUCUUUCAGGUGGGAAGAUAAUGACUGUACCAACAGAAGAAGCCCCGGCUAACUCCGUGCCAGCCGCCGCAGUAA